rnacentral:misc_RNA from 1 species
AGACAAUUUCAGUUUCAGAUCAACUUCUAAGUUGAACGCUCAAGGCAGGGGCUCUUGUGAAUCUCCCAGCCGUAACAAAUGAAGAUAUGCAUCAGUACCAUAUCCCUCCAUGGAGAUAACUUGCAGAUCACCUCCAAAAUACCUGGCAUACAAACGGCUAAUUGGAACCCCCCAUCCAUAUCCAGCCAUUGUUACUGCAUCAGCUGUUCCAAGAUUAGCAUCCUCAUCCAGUGGGUUUCUGGCAGUGCUGUAAAGAUAGGUGAAUAUUUUGGGAAGACCACUUCUUGGUAUACCACCCCCCUCAUCUGAAACCUUUAUAGUGACAUCCUCAAUUCCUUCAGCAACUAUUAUCCGAACAGGAGGUGCAACUUUGUCCGAGUCCAUGUAACGCUCUUGAACAGCUCGCAAGGAAUUCUUGACCAACUCAAACACCAUAUGAUGCAAAUGCGCUGGAACAUACGGGAAUGUAAAAUUGGGAUCCCCAUAAAUAUUGAUAUCAGGUGAACUGCCAUACUCCCUUAAACAAAUGGCACGGGCAUCCUCACUGGCAUUUCGUGCAACCUCAACAGGAGACAUUUUUGUAUGAAUAUAACCAAUGCAAUAAGGUGGGGGAUUGGGAUUGUGCAACUCGACAUGCUGCCCUGAACCAAUAAGCAUUCUGAUUCCAAUUCUGGACAUGUAAAAACGAUCCAAAAACUGAUGAAUCUCAUCAAGAUCUUCGUAAACAAUUUUUUGAUCCAUGCCUUUCUUCAAUUGUUGAACACCUAAAGCCAUCAUAGGGACAACAUUGUUGUGUCUGACCUUAAUUGCCUUAAUCAUUUGCGUAAAUUCCCUCUCUUCAUUGGAAUCCUUGAUCUCGGGAAAGGAUCUCAGAUCACGGAAAGAAUCCAGGUACCAAUCCCGCACCUUCAGGACAGCGGGUUUUUCAGAUAAGCCAUGAGGGAGAGACUCGAGCUCAAUAGCUCUCCUAGCAAUCCUAAUGGGCAACUCCUUAUGAAGGAACUGAGCAGAAAUCAACAAAUUCCUAUUGGUAGGCCUGGAGCCAAACUCCAUCAUGUAGCGCAAGCUAACACCAGUCUGCUUCAUGCAACCCCAUCUGUGGACCUCGUCUAUGAGGGUCUUGGAAAAGGAGUGGCAGACCUUCUUAGCCGCCAUCGGUAAUUAGUAUUAAAAGCUGAAAGGCGCCGUUGUCCUCCUGAAAUAGAAGUACAGAAACUCCUCCAACGCCACGCCACCGACAUGCAAUGCUCUGCCCAAAUGCCAAACUGACAUAUACCGAGAUCAAAAUUAAAAUUGAAGAUGGAAAAGGGGAAAAUAAAUGAAAUUGGCGAGAGAGGUCUCCUCUAAACCUAGGUUAGAAUUUUAACCAAAGGUCUAGAGCAAGGCCGGCGCAGCCGCAAUUACUAGCAAUCAGCAGAUAAGCAUGGCACUGAAGAGGAGAGAAGACGCGUGUUCGUAAAAAUUAUUUAAUUAAGAAGAAAUU